rnacentral:lncRNA from 1 species
UAAAGAAAUUCUGCACUUCCUUGAAAACAUCCUGCUGAACCUCUUCCCAAAAGUGUUGAUAAAAUUGCCCAUUUAGGCCAUCAAGCCUUGGUGCCUUAGUGGAACCCAAUUGGAAAACUGCUGCCUUAACUUCUUCUAGUGUCACCUCAGUUGUUAGAUCAUAGUUUAUUUCUUCUCCAACCAUGAUGUGACAAUUUUCUAGCACUGGAUGAAAAUUACGGGGGUCCUCUGAAGUAUAAAGUAUCUAAAAGAAAUUCACCAUUGAUUGCUUUAAUUGGCUAACAUCUCGUGUCCAUU